GCCUCAACUACCUUCUCCAAGGGCUCGCUCCAUAUACCUACCGCCCUUUGUGUAGAAGUUUUGCCACUCAGGUUCCUAUUAAAUCUCUUCUCCCUCACCUUAAACCUAUGUCCUCGUGUUUUUGAUUCCCUUUCUCUGGGUAAAAG